AAUUUUGGACAAUGGGGGCAACCCUGAUCCAGCCAUCCCGCGUGUGCGAUGAAGGCCUUCGGGUUGUAAAGCACUUUUGGCAGGGAAGAAAAGGCUCUGGUUAAUACCUGGAGCUGCUGACGGUACCUGCAGAAUAAGCACCGGCUAACUACGUGCCGGCAGCCGCGGUAAUACGUAGGGUGCAAGCGUUAAUCGGAAUUACUGGGCGUAAAAGGUGCGCAGACGGGUUGGCGAGAAGGAUGUGAAAACCCGCGGCUUAACCUCGGAACUGCAUACUUAACUGCCAGACUAGAGUAUGUCAGAGGGGGGUAGAAUUCCGCGUGUAGCAGUGAAAUGCGUAGAGAUGCGGAGGAAUACCGAUGGCGAAGGCAGCCCCCUGGGAUAAUACUGACGCUCAGGCACGAAAGCGUGGGGAGCAAACA
rnacentral:rRNA from 1 species